GCUAGUGUGGCUUCUGGGCCCUGGAAGUGUGGCUGUUCUGAACUCAGAUGUGCUCUCAGUAUAAACUACCCAUUUGGAAAUACAUAAAAAUACAGAUCACAGAGGUGUACAGAUAUCAAUCAAAUAAAAACACAGAUCAAAUGAAAAUAGAAAAUACAGGUUUCAGAGACUUCAUAUAGGACAUGACUAUUCUAUAUGUGAUUGCAUGUCACAAUGAUAAUGUUUUUGAUGUAUUAGGUUAGGUAAAAUACAUUAUUCCGAUUAAUACGGUGUGUUGCCUUUUACCUAUUUAUUUUUUUUUAAUGGUGCACCCUUUGCAUAUGGAAGUUCCCAGACCAGGGAUUGAACCCGAGCUGCAGCUGCGACCCAUGCCGUAGCUAUGGCAACACUGGAUCCUUUAACCCACCGCACCAGGCCAGGUAUUGAACUCAAGCCUCCACAGCGACCUGAGCUGCUGCAGUCAGAUUCUUAACCCACUGAGCCCCCAAGGGAACUCUGCCUUUUACCUUUUUAAGGUCGCUACUAGAAAACUCUAAUUACAUGUGUGGCUUAGGUUUCUGUUGGCUGGCAUGAACAUACAGUGCUGGUGAUAGUCUGGGGAGUUGAAAAGCUCUGGCUGGAGGCUGGGUGCGUGCAAAGUAGAUGAAAGGAACCAAGAAUAGGAUGGGAAGAGAGGAGGAAAUGGAUGAGAAGCGAGAGCAGUAUCCCAGCACUUCAGGCCUCAAAGUGAGUGUAACCAGCACCUCCAGUCACACCUGGAGGUGAACAGACAGUAAGCAGAAGGCCUGUUUGUUUUGCUCCUAGCAACAGCCCUGGCUGGUUCCACCCCAGCUGAGGCUGCCAGAUGCUUUUCAAGCACGUUGUCGUAAUACAGGCUGCUAAGGGCAACAUGCUCAAUCAGUGUAGCAAGGAGCUUUAUCUCCAAAAAGCCCAGCCCUUUCCCCAGGUCAGUACCACUUUCCAGAAACUUUCUUGGAUCCGAGGUCCAAUUCCGACCUUGGCAGUCUCCAAACACAGUGGCCACGGGUGCUGGGUCUUAUGUUUUGGGGCAGCCUUCCCUCCUGACCCCCUCCUCGCCCCAUCAUUUUCCUCUUCAGCAGGACUUUGUCCUGGGGUUCAAGAGGGGGGAGUUUAAAAACGUGCCAAUCAGAAUUCUUGAGUCUGCUUCAAAAUGUGACAUCUGCUGUCUGACUGAGUGAUGUGAGGUUUCGCUGGUCGUGUGGUUUUUAUGUUCCUGUUCUUUUUGUCUUUUCCUUUCAUGUGAAGACUCCACUUACCUGUUGGCGCUACUGAAAUGUGUUGAAUUAGAUGGGAUAUAGCCAAGGACCGUUCAAGAGAAGCUCAGUAAAAUACGUUAACCCUGUUGGGGCGGUGGGUUCGGGGGGUGGCCCUCUUGGAUUUUGUGACUGUGGGACAUGUCUCUGGCCUACCAGGAAUACAUGGCACACACUGACUUUUGCAGUUACAGGGACGUCAAAUUAAUUAGGACAGCCCUUAAGUCCCUGCGUCUGCCUUGGAGUGCUUUCCACACUUGGCCGGAGAGGGCAAGCUUGCUCCUUGGCCAUCUCCCAUCCUCCUUACCUUCCCUGCUAGGCGUUUCUCUGCUUCCUGGCCUCAUCACCCCCUUGCUUCUCUACCUGCCGGAUCCCCAAAAGAGCUCUAUUUAUGCUUCUGCUUCUUAAGAAAUUAAAAAAAAAAAUUUCUUUGCCAUACCUGCAGCAUAUGAAAAAUUUCAGGCUAGGGGUCCCAUCAGAGCUGCAGCCUGUACCACAGCUUGUGGCAAUGCCAGAUCCUUGACCCACUGAGUGAGGCCAGGGUUUGAACCUGUGUCCUCCUUGAACCCUGUGUUGGGUUCUUAACCCGCUGAGCCACAGUGGGAAGUCCUAUGUUAGGCUGCUUCUUGAUGCCUCUCUGCCAAGUGAUCCAUAUAGAGAAUUUGCUGUGUUCCACACCUUUGAGGGAGGUGAUUCCCAAUUACUUCUAGUAAAGGAUCUAAAAGCAUCGUUCACCCUAAAGUGCUGGCAAAUGAGGUCAUGUGAUGUCUGUUUCUUUUCUGUUGAGUUUUGGCUUCAUUGGCUUCAGACUGUAAGAUGAGGAAACGCCCAUAGUUCAAAGGGAUCAAUAUCAAUGAAUGCUGAGCAUAAGGGCUGGAAAGUAAUUUCUGGCAUCAGCGUUAUGCUGAUGGGGAGAAUUUGUAGAUAGGAAAACUGUCCACAUAUUCAUCAUCCACAGAAGGGACAGUAUUUUUCGAGCUGCCUCCAGGGGCCAAGCCACCUUUGUGUGCAAGGCUGGGCAAAGUCUGGCAACUUCUAUGAUUGACUCCUGUUGUCUACUUUAAUCGUACAGAAAUUAGAUUUCAAUUAGCUGUGAAAAUGUGACCAUUUAUUUGCUGCUUUUAAGAUUACAGUCCAAUUUUAUAUAUUUUAUUUUAUUUUAUUUGCCCCCCCCCCGGGGUGGGGGGCAGCAUAUGGACUUCCUGGGCCGGGGAUCCUUUAACCUACUGUGCCAGGCCGGGGAUAGAACCUGCAUUCUGGCAGUGCAGAGACACCGCAAAUCCCAUUGCGCCACAGUGGGAACUCAUUACAGUCCAAUUUUAAAAGUUAUUUAGACCAAAGAAGAGAGUCGUUGACACCAAGCUGAUAUUAACAUCAUGAGGAAUGUUGGGUAUCUUUUUAAUGUCAUUUAUAUAUUUGUGGCAAUUUCUUAAGGUUUUUUUUCCCCCCUAGUUUUUGAAGUCUUACUUACCUUGGUUGAUGUUUUAGGAGAAGAAAAGGAAUUUAAAUUACAUGGUUUUCAUCUUUCCUACUUGCCGUAGUGACAUUACUUGUUUUUAUUAAGCUGUGUAUAGCUAAGGUAAUGAGUGGAAAUUAAUAAAUGAGUAAUUUCAGUAAGAUGGACUUUAUUUUAUUGGCCAUGCCCACAGCAUAUGAAUGUUCCUAGGCCAGGGAUCAAACCCACACCACAGCAGUGACAUGAGCUGCUGCAGUGACACUGCCAGAUCCUUAGCCCACUGUACCACAAGAGAACUCCAAGAUGGACUUCAUUUUAAAUAUGCAUUGUGUUAAAGGCAACUUCAUUUGGUAAUGGCAGUAAAAAUUUUCAAUAUUUUUUUUAAAGUACAUAAAAAUGGACUACUAGCUUUACAAAAAUUGCUUUACUAAUUUUUCUUGACCCUGAAUAUUAUUAUAAAAAUAACAUUAUGGUAUUUAAUUAACAUUGGUCACUUGACAGUAAAUUUUCUUUAAACAGGAGAUUAUAGGAGAGAAACUACUGCUGAAAUUAGCAAAAUAGAAUAGAGGUGUAAUUAAGCAUAUUUAUUUAUUCUGGUUUUGAUAAAUAUGAUAUGUAAUGAAUAAGAUCUAGGAGUUCCUGCUGUGGUGCAACAGGAUGGGUGGUAUCUUUGGAGCGCUGGGACGCAGGUUCAAUCCCCAGCCUUGCACAGUGGGUUAAGGAUCCAACAUAGGUUGCAACUGCAGCCUGGAUCUGAUCCCUGGCCCGGGAG
rnacentral:lncRNA from 1 species